rnacentral:rRNA from 1 species
GACGUAGGUGGCGAACGUUAUCCGGAAUUAUUGGGCGUAAAGGGUGCGUAGGUGGCCUGGCAAGUUAUCUGUGGUAAAUCGAGGCCCAACCUCGUGGAAACUGGCAAUACUGCUUGGCUUGAGUGCAGGAGAGGUUAACGGAACUCUAUGUGGAGCGGUAAAAUGCACAGAUAUAUAGAAGAACAUCAAUAACGGCGAAGGCAGUUAACUAUUCUGUUACUGACACUGAGGCGCGAAAGCGUGGGGAGCAAAACGG